rnacentral:rRNA from 1 species
UACGGAGGGUGCAAGCGUUAUCCGGAUUCACUGGGUUUAAAGGGUGCGUAGGUGGGCAAGUAAGUCAGUGGUGAAAUCUCCGGGCUUAACCCGGAAACUGCCAUUGAUACUAUUUGUCUUGAAUACUGUGGAGGUCAGCGGAAUAUGUCAUGUAGCGGUGAAAAUGCUUAGAUAUGACAUAGAACACCAAUUGCGAAGGCAGCUGGCUACACAAAUAUUGACACUGAGGCACGAAAGCGUGGGGAGUCAAACAGGA